rnacentral:rRNA from 1 species
UACAGAGGGGGCAAGCGUUGUUCGGAGUUACUGGGCGUAAAGAGUGCGUAGGCGGUUUUCUAAGUUUGGUGUGAAAUCUCCCGGCUUAACUGGGAGGGUGCGCCGAAGACUGGAAGGCUUGAGUAUGGGAGAGGUAAGCGGAAUUCCUGGUGUAGCGGUGAAAUGCGUAGAUAUCAGGAGGAACACCUGCGGUGUAGACGGCUUACUGGACCAUCACUGACGCUGAGGCACGAAAGCGUGGGUAGCAAACAGG